CUGCUGCCUCCCGUAGGAGUUUGGGCCGUGUCUCAGUCCCAAUGUGGCCGUUCACCCUCUCAGGCCGGCUACUGAUCGUUGCCUUGGUAGGCCAUUACCCCACCAACUAGCUAAUCAGACGCGGAACCAUCGUAUACCACCAGUAGUUUUUCACACCGCUUCAUGCGAAGCUGUGCGCUUAUGCGGUAUUAGCACCUAUUUCUAAGUGUUACUCCCCCAGUAUACGGCAGGUUUUCCACGCGUUACUCACCCGUCCGCCAA
rnacentral:rRNA from 1 species